CUUCCCCUGCCCAGCGCGGCACUCACACAGUCUGCACACAGCUGGCCUUGCUGUCCAGACAGGCCGCAGCGGCACAGGGGAAGCCAUGGAGACGUCAGGGUCCUUGUCGCAGUCUCACGACCACGGCCGGGUCCCGAGAGAGACAGAAGAUGGUGACUACGGAGAGACGGGUGUCCAGGAGCAAGACGACCCGUAUGAGAGAGACAAGUUGUCGUCGUCGUCGUCGUCCUCGUCCUCGUCUUCCUCGUCAUCGUCGUCAUCGUCCUCUUCCUCCUCCU